GGUCAUAGCUCAGUGGUAGAUCAUCUGCUUUGCAUACAGAAGGUCCCAGGUUCUAUCCCCAUUGGCAUCU